AAUAGAUACCCGGGUAGUCCAUGCCGUAAACGUUGGGCACUAGGUGUGGGGGACAUUCCACGUUUUCCGCGCCGUAGCUAACGCAUUAAGUGCCCCGCCUGGGGAGUACGGCCGCAAGGCUAAAACUCAAAGGAAUUGACGGGGGCCCGCACAAGCGGCGGAGCAUGCGGAUUAAUUCGAUGCAACGCGAAGAACCUUACCAAGGCUUGACAUGAACCAGACCGGGCUGGAAACAGUCCUUCCCCUUGUGGGUUGGUUUACAGGUGGUGCAUGGUUGUCGUCAGCUCGUGUCGUGAGAUGUUGGGUUAAGUCCCGCAACGAGCGCAACCCUCGUUCUAUGUUGCCAGCACGUGAUGGUGGGGACUCAUAGGAGACUGCCGGGGUCAACUCGGAGGAAGGUGGGGACGACGUCAAAUCAUCAUGCCCCUUAUGUCUUGGGCUUCACGCAUGCUACAAUGGCCGGUACAAAGGGUUGCGAUACUGUGAGGUGGAGCUAAUCCCAAAAAGCCGGUCUCAGUUCGGAUUGGGGUCUGCAACUCGACCCCA
rnacentral:rRNA from 1 species